UGCCCUCACGCCCAGUCCCGCCCCUCCUGCUCCCAGGUCUCCGCGCGAGCUUGGGACCGCGUCUGCGCAGCGCCUCCUUCUCGCGAGCUCUCUGGCGGAGGGUAGCUGAGGACUUGCAGGGCUAUCGUAUGGAGGCCCGGGUGCCCCGUGCCGCCCGUCCCGCUCGUCAGCAAGGAAGCCGUGAGCACAGCGAGCAGUGGCGGCUUCGUGAUGGCGGGGGCGGCUCGCUGUAGGGCCGUGCGCGACGUCCGGGUUCGCCCGGCGCCGUGGAGAAACAAGAGUGGACCUGAGGCCCGAGGCGCUGACAGCCGCGCCGUGUGCCCCGCGCUAGGGGCCCGCCUCUCCGGGGAAGGGGGACUUGUGGCCCCGGGAGGGACUCAGCUUCCUCCUGCGGGAUGCAGAGGGGCGACAGGACCUGAAUUGUGCUGGAAUGCGUGGUUGGUUUCACAUUCCAAAGUCAACACAGUUCACCACAGAGAAUCGCAGUUGGGGAUACAUUUGGGGAGGCGCGGCGCGGAGGAGCCAGCUCGCUCAGGUCGCUGCAGUCCAGCUUGUGAGAACUUGCGAGCUCUGCAUGUCCGUCGUCCGGUAAAAAACAAACGCUUGUAGCCGGACCCACACAGAAAAUGCAGUUCCCUUUACGCAGAGGUCCUGCGCACGAAAACAAGACUCCAAACCAGUAGAAGUGGGCAAAGGAGAGAACACACACCCUUAAGCAGGUGACAAGAAGUUCAACGCAAAUUGGAGCAGUGAUGUAUGCCAUUUUCCACCCACCAAAUUUGCAGAGAUCAAAAGUAUUCAAUGCAGCUGGACUCUGCUUUCACUCAGUGUCCAAUAAUAUUCAAUAAAAUAUUAACAAGGCAUGUCAGGACCAAAAAAGGUGGGAAAACGGGGCGGGGGGGCCGAAGGAGCAGAUAACAGAAACAGACAUCAGAGUUGUCAAGUUUUCAGGAAACUGUAAUUAAUGUGUUCAGGAAAAUUUAACCACAAAAACUAGAAUCUAUUAAAAAAAUUUUCCUUUUUAUUUUUUCUUCUAUCCAAGUGGAAGAAAUAGCAUCAUCAAUCUUAAUUCUUUUUUUCCUCCUUUUUUAUGUUUUUGUACCAGGGAUUGAACCCAGGCACACUUCACCCCUGAGCUAUGUCCCUAACCCUUUUUAUUUUGAGAGAGGGUCUGGCUAAGUUUUUGAGGCUAGCCUCAAGCUUGCGAUCCUCCUGCCUCAGCCUCCUGAGCCACUGUGAUUACAGGCAUGCAUCACUGCACCUGCCUAAAUAUCUUUUUUAAGAAGCAAAAGUUCCUUAUUUGCCCAGGCUGCGCUUGAACUCCUAGGCCUAAGCAAUCCUCCUGCAGUGGCCUACUGAGUAGUUGGGGCUACAGUGUGACCACCAUGCCCACCUACAAGUCUCCAGUUUGUUAUACUAGAGUCAGCCAAAUCUUGAUGCUGAAACUUGGAGAGAACAAGAAAAAUGGACAGGCUAGUCUUUCAUGAGCUUACUUUAAGAUUCCAAAUCAGAUCCAGCGUGAUAAAAUAUAAUCAAUCACAACCAAGUUGGGCUUACUCCAGGAAUGCAUGGUUGGUUUCACAUUCCAAAGUCAACACAGUUCACCACAGAAGUGUAAUAAAGGAGAAAAAGGCAUGAAAAGCUCAGUAAGCACAGACAAAGAAAGCAUCUGAUAAGAUUUGACAUCCUUUCAUGAUGAAAGGAUGGGAAAUAUGCACAUACAGACUCAAAAACAGUCCACAGCACUGCCCUCACUUCUGACACCAAAUGCAAGGUUGGGGGUCACGAGGACCACAGCCAUGUUUUUAAAGAUUCCCUACAAGAACUCAGAACAUUGAUGCAGCCACCAGAAAAAAAGGAACCUCUGGUCUACACCACAGGAGCCAAAUCUUACCCAUGACAGGAACAAGCUGGGAAGGGGUCCUGAGCUCCAGAUGAGGACCAGCUAGCAGUUGCCACUAUUGCCAUCCAAGCACCUUGUUGCCGGAAGGACCUGGGUGCCACAGUCUGGCUGGGCACAAAUGCCGCAGUCUGGCUGGGCAUACAAUCACGAGCCACCACACAGCUUGUAGAUUCAAACAGCAACUCUUUAUUCCCGAACUCACACCAGCCGUCUACAAUCACGUUCUGGGGAAAUCCACGUUCUCUGCCCAAAUCCACGUUCUCUUCCCAAAUCCACCUCCACUGGGCUUCUAUCUCCAAAAUAUAUUGUCUAAAUCCCGUGAGAACUCAAGGGGAACUCAGGCAGCAGGAUACGCCCUAUUCCCAGCAGGAAUAAUCUUAAACCUUAAACCUGGAACCUAAACCGGGAACGCCCUAAACACGAUUAUCUUAAAACCGGGAACACCCUAAUCUGCCUUGGUCCUUGAGCAAGGUCACGUACAUUCAAUGUCACUGCAACAUGGGGUACGCUGGCAAGGAAAUUGUCAUACCUACUUGGCUAAUGGCUCCCAGCACCUGGGGAGCAAAGGACAAUAUGAAGCCCACUGUGCCCUCAAUGCCAUGAGUAGCAGAGCCUUUUGUCUGAGGCCCAGGAGUCUCCAGUCUCCCAUCACGUGCCCAGCACUGGCAGCCUGUUGGCUGAGCUGUAGUUUGAAUAUGGUUUCAGUGUCCCCAGGGUUCAUGCGUUGGGAGCUUGGUCUGCAGUGUGAUGAUUUGGGGGGAUUGUGGGGCCCUUAAGAGGUGGGGCCUUGAGAAAUCAUGCUCAGAAGGGGUAUUCUGAGGUACCAGUUCAGUUCCCAAGAGAGAAGGUUAUAAAGGUGCAAGACUGGGAUGGGGUUGUAGCUCAGUGGCAGAGUGCGUGCCUAGCAAAUGUGAGACACUGGAUUCAAUCCUCAACACCAUAUAUCAACAUAUUAACAAAGAAAGGUCCAAUUGACAACUAAAAAAAAUUUUUUUUUUUAAGGAGCAAGACUGGCCCUCCCUGCUCUCUGAUUCGCCAUGUGAUCUCUUUUCACACAUGCUCUCAACAUUGUAAUGCCAUCUGCCAUAGGGCCCUUACCAGAGCCAAGCCAGUGCCAGCACCAUGCCCUUGAACUUCCAAAACUAUGAGCUAAAUAAACCUCUUUUCCUCAUAUAAUAUCCAGGCUCACAUAUUAUGUUAUAGCAAUAGAAAACAAGACUACGAGCUUACAAGCUGGGAAAAUCUCUAACCUUCCAUUUCUCCUUUCUAACCUCUUCAUGAAAAACAGCUUUAACCUGCCUAGGGAGCCAGGGAAAGGAUCUUGAAGGGUGCUGGGAGUUGAAAAAAUAAGCAGAUAUAGUGUGGAUAAAGAAUUCAAGCCCUCUCACUGUUGGAGAAAGGAACUGCAAAUAAGGAAUGGGCAGGCUGGACCAGCUGUUGGAUUGAAAUUGGAGAUACUGAUACAAAUCCACAGUUUGACUAUAGUUAGAUAUAGAUGUAGACGUAUAUGUGUAUGUGCAUGUGUUCAGACGUGUAUACUCCAAGUUCUGAAAUGGCUGCCCUAGCAGCAACACACCUGGAGCCCAGGUCUUGGCUUCCAACCCCCACCAGCUCCGGGGAGGAGGGCCAAGACAAGACCAGAGCCAGGUAAACUAACGUGUUCCAGGAAGUGAGGAGUGUUCAAGAGUGGACGGACAGGCGGAGGGGACACAGCACCAGCCUACCUUACAGAGCAGAAGAACAACUCUUUUUUUUUUUUUUAAUUUUUUUUUUAGUUUUUGGCGGACACAACAUCUUCGUUUGUAUGUGGUGCUGAGGAUCGAACCCAGGCCGCACGCAUGCCAGGCGAGCGCGCUACCGCUUGAGCCACAUCCCCAGCCCCGAAGAACAACUCUUGAGCCUGAAUUAAAUUCAGACAUAGAAAGUAUAUAACAUGCAUGCAUAUGGGAGAAAGGGGCCAGACCUCACAGAGGGAUCUCAACCUCCCAGGAACUACUUAUUUUAUUUAAUGAAUGCAAAAUGCUUACUGACUAACCUUGCAGUGGGGAGACUUGGUGGACCCCCACCUCACCCAGACAACAGGAGUUAGCAUUGCCGGUGCCACCGAGAUAGCCACCUUGAGCCUGGGAUAGGCCACAUAGCGGAGAGACCUCACUCCAGAGACCUCACUCCAGAGGGAUUCCUGCUGGAAAUGCAGAAACCUUGGCAGGAGUUCUGCAGAUUUGCAGGCCUUGGACACGUGGCAGUUUCCUUAUGUUGACUGAUUCGGCAAGUCUGUUUACUUCCAAAGUACUUGGAGAUGUGGAGGGUCACAAGCAUCAGUCUACAAUGUAUCCUGAGGUGGUGCAGAAAAAAAAGUUAAAUGGGAAGAAAGAAUAAUAAGGCAAAUGUGGAAAAUAUUAGAGGUUGGGGCAUGUAGGAAGGGAGCAUCCAGAUUUUUUGUACUGUUUGCCAUUUUUCUAUAAAUUGGAAAUUAUUUCAGAAUAAAAAGUUGGAUUAAAAAUCUACCUGAUCUUGGGCCAGGGUUGUGGCUCAGCGGUAGAGCGCUCACCUAGCACAUGUGAGGCCCUGGGUUCGAUCCUCAGCAGCACAUAAAAAUAAAUAAAGGUAUUGUGUCC
rnacentral:lncRNA from 1 species